rnacentral:rRNA from 1 species
UACGUAGGGUGCGAGCGUUAAUCGGAAUUACUGGGCGUAAAGCGUGCGCAGGCGGUUCUCUGUGUCCUGUGUGAAAGCCCCGGGCUUAACCUGGGAAUGGCAUGGGAAACUGGCGGGCUGGAGUGUGGCAGAGGGGGGUGGAAUUCCGCGUGUAGCAGUGAAAUGCGUAGAGAUGCGGAGGAACACCGAUGGCGAAGGCAGCCCCCUGGGCUAACACUGACGCUCAGGCACGAAAGCGUGGGGAGCAAACAGG